UGUACAAUGGUAUGAACUAUACCAUCACAGUGAGAGCUGGUAAUGUAUUAGGAGGAUCUAAUGCUAGUUCAGUUGAAAUAGAUACAAUGCCAACAGUCCCUACCAGUGUACCUAAUUCUCUGUCUUUACUACAACCAUUUAA